UAAAUUGCAAUCACGUGCCGUUUUAUCUAUCAUCACGUGAUAUUUGUGAAGGCAGUGAUACUGUACUGCAAGGGAAGUAACACUGCGCGGAGUUUGGAAGGAAAUGUGUUGCCGGCCCAUUGUCCGCAUUUCCAGAAUGGUGAAAGCCAAAGUAUGUUCAGGAUGGAACAUCACAGGAAAGAUCCAGUGCAUCAGAAGGGACAGUACACACCAUCUUUCAUUCCCACCAUUCUUUGUGAAGAGGAAUCCAAAUGUUCUUUGGCCUGAUCGAGUUCUUAUGGGUGCCUUGAGCCAUCCUAGGAGGCAUCCCAAGUAACAACAUUAAGAACGUAUAAAUGUUUGAACUGUGCAGACUUCUUGUUGUGAGAAAAAAAGCCUGCAGCCAAUGAGAUAGAAAUGGAGAGAAGGGCAAUAGCAGCUUGCACACGUCAAGGAUCUGCAGCGCAUGAAACCCCUUAAACUGAAGAUGAUGUUCCUGAAGCCUAGAGAUGUCAGCACUCGCAGUCAGCCGCUUUAUCAUCCAUUGCUCCAUUAACCUCAUCCACCUGGUCAACACAAUUCAAACAUACCAGAUACAGACUCAGUUAAAACAGAUAUGGGUGCAAGUCAUGACACUUUUACAGAUUAAAGAUGUCCGAGAUUCACGAUGAAUGCUGUUUGAAGAAGAAUGAACAGAAUCACAUUUUAAUUUAAUCUCACUGCCAAUGUGGACUUAAAGAGGACGGGCUCUGUUAUGACAACUGUAUUUUUAAGUAACAGAGAUAAGGGUGUUAUUGGAAUCAUUUCAAUAAAAUAUGGGAGUACCGGUACAUACCAGUUUGAUAUCUUGAUUAGACUGGGACUUAAACUUAAACAAAAACGAUAGAUAUUGGACCUCUCUAAUACACAUUAUAAACAUCUCAUGUCUUAAGUCAAUAACAAAGCUGUAAUAAGGCGAUAUUUAGUGUAAUUAACACUUAGGGCUAUUCUCCUAAAACAUAUAACCACCGGGUUUGGCAGAUUUUUAAUAAUAUAUGGUUGGGCUUUUUUGCUAAUUUGCACCCCAAAAGGCACAUUUGCUUUUGUAUGGGGUUGGCAUAAAAACUUAAUAAAUGCCUCCCCUCCAGUGGUUAUAUUUUUAAAUGGACAAAAUAUCAAACUGGUAUGUACCUUAUCAACAUUUUUAGCUGGACUAUUUGAAUAAUAAGGAGGGUUAUACCACUCGCCUCAGCAUCUGCUUUGGCUUUAGCGUCCGGUUAAAGUUUAAGACCAAGUUGGGAUUUUCACUCAUAGGGAUUUUCACUCAUAACUGCAAAACCCUUCAUUAAAGUCACUUAAUACUCCAUACAGUUGUUCAGGGUCAUUACAUAAUGAGGUUAAUACUUCAAUAGCCUUCAUUCAAUGGACUUAAUACCUUGCACAAUUAAUGAUGAACAUCUUACAAUAAGGUGACAUAACUCCAUUUUAACUAAAUACAAAUUAUUGCCCUUUUUUCAUUUUUAUUUCUUAUGUCAGGCACAUUUAUAUAUUCUUAACAGGGUUUUUGAAAGCUAAUUGUUUGGGCGGGCUGGUGGAAGGGUCUUCAAAGUCACCUUAUGUGUAAAAUAAUUUUAGCUAGGUUUGACAUAUAGUGACCAAACUUCGUAUGUAGGAAGCCUUUAUGAAGACCUUUCAUGAGAUUGCGUUUUAGGCUUCUGGGAUCAAUAUAAAGGUCAAAGUUAUUAUUAAAAGCAAAAGAACUGGUAUUGAUUAACUUAAAGGUCGACAUAUUGUGACCAAACUUGGUUUAUAUGAAAGUUCAUACAGACUUUUUAUGCCCCCGAAGGUGGGCAUAUUAAAAUUGCACCGUCCGUCCGUCCGGCUCUGUAACUUUCCCUUGUAUGGACAGAUUUUAAAAUAACUUGCCAAAUGUGUUCCACAUACCAAGACGACGUGUGGCGUGCAAGACCCGUGUCCCUACCUCAAAGGUCAAGGUCACACUUAGUGUUUAUUCACAAUGGAGUGCUGCAUAUAAGGACAUAGAGUAUAGGUUGUCGUGUCCGGGCUGUAACUUUCUCUUGUAUGGACAGAUUUUAAAAUAACUUGCCACAUGUGUACCACAUACCAAGACGACGUGUCGCGUGCAAAACCCGUGUCCCUACCUCAAAGGACAAGGUCACACUUAGUGUUUAUUCACCAUAGAGUGCUGCAUAUAAGCAUAGAGUAUAGGUUGUCGUGUCCGGGCUGUAACUUUCCCUUGUAUGGACAGAUUUUAAAAUAACUUGCCACAUGUGUACCACAUACCAAGACGACGUGUCGCGUGCAAAACCCGUGUCCCUACCUCAAAGGACAAGGUCACACUUAGUGUUUAUUCACCAUAGAGUGCUGCAUAUAAGCAUAGAGUAUAGGUUGUCGUGUCCGGGCUGUAACUUUCCCUUGUAUGGACAGAUUUUAAAAUAACUUGCCACAUGUGUACCACAUACCAAGACGACGUGUCGCGUGCAAGACCCGUGUCCCUACCUCAAAGGUCAAGGUCACACUUAGUGUUUAUUCACAAUGGAGUGCUGCAUAUAAGGACAUAGAGUAUAGGUUGUCGUGUCCGGGCUGUUACUUUCUCUUGUAUGGACAGAUUUUAAAAUAACUUGCCACACGUGUUCUACAUACCAAGACGAUGUGUCGCGUGCAAGACCCGUGUCCCUACCUCAAAGGUCAAGGUCACACUUAGUGUUUAUUUACAAUGGAGUGCUGCAUACAAGGACAUAGGGUAUAGGUUGUCGUGUCCGGACUGUAACUUUCCCUUGUAAAGACAGAUUUUAAAAUAACUUGCUACAUGUGUUCCACAUACGAAGACGACGUGUCCUGUGCAAGACCCAUGUCCCUACCUCUAAGGUGAAAGAUACACUAAGUGUUUAUUCACAAGGGAAUUCUGAAUAUAAGGACAUAACAGUGUAGGUUGUCAAGUAUGGGUGGUAUUUUUUUAUGUUCAGAGGAAAUUUAAAAUAACUUGCCAUAUGUAUUUGACACAUAAAGGCAAGAUCAACUUUUCAUGUACUGGCCUUGUUCGUAGGUCAAUGUCACAUUUGGGGGCAUUCGUCACAUACUGUGACAGCUCUUGUUUAUUGUGUUUUGGGUUAUGAUCUAGGUCAAAGUCAGUAUUGCUGAAAAGUACAAUUAUAGUUGGUACUGAAUAAGUAAGGGGUGACAAUGUGUGACCAAACUUGGUAUAUAUGACAAGUUAAUGGAGAGCUUUCAUUCGAAUGCCUUGGGCCCCUUAGGGUCAAUGUCACUGUUACUAAAAAAAUAUUACUUUUUGGUACUGAAUACCAUAAGUUAUGGUUGAUAUACUGUGACCAAACUUGAUAUAUAGGAAGAGUUUAUUGAGAACUUUCAUGAGAUUGUGUUUUGGGCGCAUAGGAUCUAGGUCACUGUUAUAAAAAUAGAAGACAGCAGUUGAAACUGAACUUCUUCUGCCAAUCCUUAACAAAACAAUUAUUGUCACAUCACGAUUCUUGUUUACUUUUUAAAUUGAUUUUUCUAUUGCUUUUGACAAGCACAUAUUACAUCAUAAUGUAAGAAGAUACAUUGUUAAAAAAAAAACAGAAAAUGUUAAUUUGAAUAAGAGUGUCACUUCUUUUAAAUUUGUAGCUGUUUACUUACCAUGAAUUUAUCUUUAAAUACAACUUGUACUUUUUAUGUGUAGGGUACGAGUUGGACCAUAUUGAGAGAUUGUUUUAAUUAGCAUAUGCUAAAACAUACUGUGACUGUUGUUGCUGCCUUUUAAUUUUAUGAAAAGUAUUGCUUUAUUAUUUUUUUAAAUUCCAUAUUCUUAAGCUCCUAAUUCUUGUCAGGUAAUUUUUAAAUCAAAUUAAUUGUUAAAGUGACACUCUUAUUCAAAAUCAAUGCAUACAUAUGUAUAACAAACAUAUGUUUUGAGUGAUAAACCUUUAACUACUUACUAAAUAAUGCAUUGAUGGAACAUAUUUAUUACUGGUAGCAAGUUUGUAACCCUGUAUUUAAUAACAGAAAACGCAAAAAUAUUUAAUGAUUGAUGAAUGCUAAAAGAUUUACUGUGAUCUACUUUAAUAGUCUCAUAAGGUAGAUACACCAUGUUUUAUGCACAUUUCUUUCAAAUCAAAAUCGGUAUCCUUCAUGAGAACCAUUGCUUUCAACAUUCAUUUAUUCUUUUCACAAUAUUAAAACAAUAGUAUUAGUAGUGGUAAACCUUUUUGGGAGUAAGAGUGCAUCUUUAAAAAAUGUGUUUAAUGUGGAUAUAUUAUGAUCUAUGUGUCUUUGCACGUAUGCACUUGCUAGUAUUGCCUAAGAAUUUGACCUCUGAUAUUUUAUGUAGUAGUUAGAUGAUAUGAAGUAAAUUCUGUCAGAGUUAGUGGAACUAAUGAUCCAUUCUUAAUCAUUGAAAUGUACUAACAAGGCAUCUCACAGUCUUAUGUCUUUGUAUGCCUUUGAGGUUAUGUCUCCACAAAUCUUUAUCAUGGCCUGACAGUCUGCUUUCUUUAAUUUGUGUCUUUGUAUUAAAAAUAUGUAUUAUUUUUAAUACAUAUUUUAUUUAUAGUACUGCAUUUAUCUCCUAUCGAUUUUCAUGUUUUAUGUAACUUGAAACUUUCAUUAAGUUGUAAAAACAUUAAAUCUGUGAGAGUGUAGCUUUAAGAGAAACAUUAGUGAUUUUAGCAUCAAACUUGUUUUAUAUGUUCUUUUUAAGUUCUAGGUUAUUCUGUAAUCAUUAACCAUCAUUGUGCCAUAGAUAGACCUGUGAAAAAUUAUUAUAAUGUACUAUGUUAUAUUAUUGAAUAAAAUACUGAACAUGUUA